rfam:Schistosoma curassoni strain Dakar, Senegal genome assembly, scaffold: SCTD_scaffold0014963
GCACUGCUGGGAAGUCCCACAAUAGGACGAAACGGCCGUCCAGUGU